GUACGAUUAAGUGACAAAAAGAGGGACCCUCAGAGCCAGAACUCUGAGAGAUUUAUCAUAAACGCUGUGGAGGAGCAAGAACACCAGAGUGAUGGACAAAGCAAUUCGUCAGAAGCCCAAACUGCGGAGGACAAAGACCUGUGGCCUGCUGAUAUAGCGAGCCAUCACAAAGCUCUCUAGAUUCCAACUCCACAACGUCCUCCUUCAAUACAGGGAGCACUGAAGCUGAAUCUACCUGUAGUUUCUGUGACAACCAGACAGGAAGUGAAGAUGGAAGCCCAGGGAGAGAUAUGUUGGAUACACCUCCAUCCGGAUCAGGAAUUCUUCUGAAAGACCCCAUGCUUGGAGCUUUUCCGGCUGCAUGGAAAAAGCGUUUCCCUUUCAGCCCUACGCUGCCAAAAACACCAGUACUGCCUUUGCGUCCACCCCUUCGGGAAGCACACAGCCUGACUCUCAACCCAUCUUCGCUUAUAUCCCCUUCUUAAGGCCUGAGCUGUUCUCUCCAUCCAGAUGGACGGAGGUGUCCAUAAUCCAUAUAGGCCUACACAUAUUUUAUUGGAUAUUCAUUCUGUACUAAUAUAGACUAGCAUGUAUACUACACUCAGUAAAAAGCUACAACAGUAAUGUCACUGGGGCAGUACCGUUUCAAAAAGUACACCUUUGUACCUUCUUUAUCCUUAAAAGGUGCAUAAUAGUAGUUUAAAGGUACAUAUUAGUGCCUUUUAGAAGUGCACCACCCCACUGACGGCUUUUGAGCCUUUUUCUGAGCAUGUAUUAUGUAAAUAGAUGUAUUGUUUUAUGAAUAAUGUAUUGUUAAAAACUUUUAGCACAUUACUGACAGUGUGAAAUUACAAACAACACAGUGUUGCUGUAAUGCUGACUGAAUAUUAUAUUUUUUUUACCCUAACAGCAUUAUUUGAGGACAUGUGGGUCACCCCAGAAUCUACCGUCUUAAAAAGUCCCAGCUUGCCAGGCAGCUCUGCAAAUGACUCUGUAACUUCAGUCAUGAAGGCUGGAAGUGGCAUUAAUCUGUCCUUCAAGAGUGAGGAAGAGAACAAAAGCUCGGAAGAUGAGACCCCAGGACAACCCAUUCCCCUGAAGAGAGCAAGAAAGGUCUGUUCACACAGGCACACUUCAAGAAGAGGACGUGUUACAACACAGCCAAAACUCAGGAAGAAAUGUGUGAACGGCUUCAUUAUGUUCUGCUGAAUAAACAGAAAAUUAUA